GCCGUUGUGGCGUAGAAGGUCUGCGCACUCGCCUGAAACGCGAGGGGUUCAGGAUCGUUACCUGACGACGGCA
rnacentral:tRNA from 1 species